rnacentral:tRNA from 1 species
GGAGGAGUGGCCGAGAGGUCGAAGGCGGCGGUCUCGAAAACCGCUAGAGUGGCAACAUUCUCGGAGGUUCGAAUCCUCUCUCCUCCGCCA